rnacentral:rRNA from 1 species
UACGGAGGGGACUAGCGUUGUUCGGAAUUACUGGGCGUAAAGCGCACGUAGGCGGAUUUGUAAGUCAGGGGUGAAAUCCCGGGGCUCAACCUCGGAACUGCCUUUGAUACUGCAAAUCUCGAGUCCGGAAGAGGUGAGUGGAAUUCCUAGUGUAGAGGUGAAAUUCGUAGAUAUUAGGAAGGAACACCAGUGGCGAAGGCGGCUCACUGGUCCGGUACUGACGCUGAGGUGCGAAAGCGUGGGGAGCAAACAGG